rnacentral:rRNA from 1 species
CUGGUUGAUCCUGCCAGACCCGACUGCUAUCAGAGUGGGACUAAGCCAUGCGAGUCAACGCCGCAAGGCGUGGCAUACGGCCCAGUAACACGUAGUCAACAUGCCCAGGGGACAUGGAUAACCUCGGGAACCUGAGGAUAAACCGCGAUAGGCCAAGGUUUCUGGAAUGGACACUGGCUGAAACCUAUACGGCCCCUGGAUUGGACUGCGGCCGAUCAGGCCGUUGGUGAGGUAAUGGCCCACCAAACCUGUAACCGGUACGGGCUUUGAGAGAAGGAGCCCGGAGAUGGGCACUGAGACAAGGGCCCAGGCCCUAUGGGGCGCAGCAGGCGCGAAACCUCUGCAAUAGGCGAAAGCUUGACAGGGUUACUCUGAGUGAUGCCCGCUAAGGGCAUCUUUUGGCACCUCUAAAAAUGGUGCAGAAUAAGGGGUGGGCAAGUCUGGCGUCAGCCGCCGCGGUAAUACCAGCACCCCGAGUGGUCGGGACGACUAUUGGGCCUAAAGCAUCCGUAGCUUGUUCUGCAAGUCUUCCGUUAAAUCCACCUGCUCAACAGAUGGGCUGCGGGAGAUACUACAGGGCUAGGAGGCGGGAGAGGCAAACGGUACUCAGUGGGUAGGGGUAAAAUCCUCUGAUCCACUGAAGACCACCAGUGGCGAAGGCGGUUUGCCAGAACGCGCUCGACGGUGAGGGAUGAAAGCUGGGGGAGCAAACCGGAUUAGAUACCCGGGUAGUCCCAGCUGUAAACGAUGC